CUCACAGCCAACGAUUGGUUGAAGUGAAGGCUUCCUAGGCUACAUUUUUAAAGGAAAGCAAGAAGAUGCUAGUAAAAGAAUGUUCCUCUCAUCCCAUGAGCAAAAUAUAUAUAUAAAUGGAAACCAGUCCUUAGCAAAGAAGGCAGGGAAGCAUCUGAAUAAUCUCUCCAGCUAUGCCUGAAGUUUUCAGGUUCCUAAUGAGAUUGUGAUGAAAGUGAAGGAACGUUCCAAAAAGCGAAUCCUGAAUUUGCAGCACAGCAGUCUGCGGAGAAGCGGCGGGUGUGCAGCCCGCUGAGGGCCCUGCGCGGCCCGGCCCUCGGCUGCGCCUCGGCUAAGCGCCUCCCGUCGGCACGGCAGGCCUCGGGCGUUCGCGUCCGUGCUGAGCAAGGGCAGCCUUCUUGCCCUGCCGUGCUGAGCUUUGGAGCACAGCAGCAGCUGGGCAGCAUUCACGGUAUGUUUGCCACCACAGCUGACCUCAAGGCGUUCGUGGUAUACGGGAGAACGCGCCCAGGCAACAUGCAGCCGCGACGCCGGUUUAACAGAAAAGACUGGUUCAUCGCGGAUUUAUCCAGAAGGGACUGCGGAUCUAACCUCUGUGGAUGUAACCUCUGUGGAUCUAACCUCUGUGGAUCUAACCUCUGUGGAUGCCGACAGGCAACCUUAGGUAACUGGAAGCUACAUAUUAACAGCAAUGUACCCUCGGGGAGAAGGGAAAAAAUCUACUUCAGUUUUGCUAAAUAACAAGGGGAAACACAAUAGGUAAAUCCAACUCAAAAUAUUUAUUGGACUCUUGGUUAAAGAACAUGAAACGUACACUAAAUUUCACAUAAUUUAUUAAAUAAACUCUAAAUGCAUAAUAUAAAUUUUUUAAAUAACCAGGUAAGGCAAAUAGAGCAUUGAAUUAAAGAACUGCUUCUCCUGAAGGAACCACUUGCCAUAAUUCACACGGAGAAACACAUGACAUCACAGUGUACAUGUUAUUUCUAAGGGAUUAGUUGGCUCCAUUCUGAGAAUAAGUACAGUGCACCUCGGAUUUUCCAAAGGCUGCCAAGAUUAUACUAUGACAUUGAUUUCUGUGUCUGUCACCACGAUGAGCCCUGAAAAUGUAUUGCUGUCCUAGUAGGUAGCAGCUCAGACCUCUGAGUAGGGCUACUGUCACAUAAAGAUUGCAAAAGGGUCAUCGUGCAAGGUUGCAGUUUAUUAUGAUUGAUUACCUAAAUUCUGAAAACCAAUUUGAAUUUCACAUCAUUUCUCCUUUAAUAUUCAGAUAGUUUCUCAUGACUAAAUUAAGCACAUCCUACAUAAGACUUUUUACAACACGAUUUCAGGAAUCUAGUGGUGGCAAAACAAGGUAAAUUGUACACCUAAAGAGCUGAAAAAAUACUCAAAAACAUUUUCUAAGGCACACAGUGACCAAAGCAUAGUGAAGGUCCCCACGCCAGAGUCUGAGGAAGAUGGAGGAACAGAGAGAUGAGCCUGAUCUCUAAGCUGCUCAUUCUCUGGGAGGUCUGGGAACAUCCAAGAGGGAAAACGAGGCUGAGAACACUGCUUUGCCAGUCUCGCAGAGCUCAAACGAGAGCGUUUGGGGUCUGGGGUGCAAGCUUCCUUUUGUCAGGGUUAGCAUGGCAUUAACUGCUUGCUGGAUUUAAACUCAAGCAGACUAGUCCUUAUACCAGAUGGAAAAUAAGCCAGAUAUUCCAACUGAGAGGAAAAAAUCACCACAUUUGUUUUCACAAUUACUGCUACAAGGAACACUUAAAGUGAAAAUAAAGACAUUGUUAAAGAAUGAUAA
ensembl:lncRNA